UACGGAGGGUGCAAACGUUGCUCGGAAUCAUUGGGCGUAAAGAGCGUGUAGGCGGUCCGGUAAGUCGGUUGUGAAAGCCGAGGGCUCAACCCUCGGAGGCCGACCGAUACUGCCGGGCUAGAGUCCGGAAGAGGCGAGUGGAAUUCCUGGUGUAGCGGUGAAAUGCGCAGAUAUCAGGAGGAACACCAAUGGCGAAGGCAGCUCGCUGGGACGGUACUGACGCUGAGACGCGAAAGCGUGGGGAGCAAACAGG
rnacentral:rRNA from 1 species